rnacentral:lncRNA from 1 species
AUUCCUCAUCCGUGAGUUCUCAGCUGACCCUUUUGUCUUCCUCCUCUUCAAAUCAUGACUCCUUAAUGGAAGCUUUUCAUUGAUUACAAUAUCAUAGAUAGCCUUAAGCAUGCUAUAAAAGCUAAAUAUCUGGGAAUUAGAUUUGACUAAUACUGAAGGAAAAAUAAGUACUUAUAAUUUUAAAUCUCAUCCUUACUCCAUCUAUGUAGAGUAUGCCAAAAAAAAAAUAUUCAGAAGAUUACAAACCUUGUUAAAGCAAUUUGUCAUCAUGGAAAACCAUGUAAUCAUUGUUACUAAAACAUUUUAAUUUGGCUUUGUUAACUUGAGAGAAAUGCUGCCUAAACUUGACUGGUUUCUGACUGAGGGUAGUAAAGACUGCUUUGUUAGGCCUGUAGGUGAGUCAUUCUAGAAUAAACUUGUUCACUGAAAUGUACAAAGCACAACUAGAGUUUUGGGUGGCUUGUGUGUGUCUUGAUUACUUUCAAUGUUAAUAAUGUUGACUUUUUAAGUUAACAGUCACUGUUAUGUACUAGGAACUGGUUUCCUUGACUUUCUAGAAUCAAUGGCCAAGAGAGGCAUAUAAUCCUUGAGGGGUUGAAGGUAUCAUGAAGUUGAGUCAGUAUGGAAGAAUUUCAAACAAAUUAAACAGGGUGCUGAAGUUCCGGCUGACUCAUCUGCUCAUGGUACGCUUACUGAUUAGUGAAUGUAGUUUUAAGCCUUUGUAUGUGUCCUCAGGGGCAGACAAACUUUAACAAGGACCAGAUAACAUUUGAAUGGAGGAAUUAUAUUUCAGGUGUUUUAGCUUGAAAUUUAUUUUUUAAAAAAAGAAAAAUUAAAAAAAAUAAAUAAGAGAGCAAAGUUUGGGAAGCGAGUUGUCAGUGUGAGAACAGACGCUGAUGAUGAGCCGGCCUGUCCCACUCUGGUGGGGCGGGGGCCAGCUGGGUAAAUAUUAAAUUGUUACCAGCAAGAAAAAGGAAGAAGAGUAAUAAUCUAUAGGAAGUAUCCGAGAGGGUCAAACAGUAGGAAACUUCCCAGGCAUGAUCUACUACCUGCCCAUAGAAGUAUAGCAUUUCUAAGCUUCUGUCUAAUGGACAUCUCGAGAUGAGAGUAAGUCUGAGAUGUUGAAAAUCAGUAGAGAAGAAAGAUCACUGCAGAUCAUAAUCUAUGUUGGCAACAUGAAAUGAUUUAUUAUAUUUGGGAAGUUUUAUUUUCUUAUGUUUUUUAAAAUUGAAUUGGUAAGUGCUUUAUAGACGUAUUUUUACCCAGGUGCCACUUCAAUGUGUAUGUAAUAAAAUUAUUUAUAUUAAAAGUGGGAAAUUUUGUCAACAUUUUUCUGUGUGUGUAAAUUUAUUAGGAUGGUGAA